UGGGGAAUUUUGGACAAUGGGCGAAAGCCUGAUCCAGCAAUGCCGCGUGAGUGAAGAAGGCCUUCGGGUUGUAAAGCUCUUUUGUCAGGGAAGAAACGGUGAGGGCUAAUAUCCCUUGCUAAUGACGGUACCUGAAGAAUAAGCACCGGCUAACUACGUGCCAGCAGCCGCGGUAAUACGUAGGGUGCAAGCGUUAAUCGGAAUUACUGGGCGUAAAGCGUGCGCAGGCGGUUUUGUAAGUCUGAUGUGAAAUCCCCGGGCUCAACCUGGGAAUUGCAUUGGAGACUGCAAGGCUAGAAUCUGGCAGAGGGGGGUAGAAUUCCACGUGUAGCAGUGAAAUGCGUAGAUAUGUGGAGGAACACCGAUGGCGAAGGCAGCCCCCUGGGUCAAGAUUGACGCUCAUGCUCGAAAGCGUGGGGAGCAAACA
rnacentral:rRNA from 1 species